UACGGAGGGUCCAAGCGUUAUCCGGAUUUAUUGGGUUUAAAGGGUGCGUAGGCGGCCUAUUAAGUCAGGGGUGAAAGACGGUAGCUUAACUAUCGCAGUGCCUUUGAUACUGAUGGGCUUGAAUGUACUUGAGGUAGGCGGAAUGUGACAAGUAGCGGUGAAAUGCAUAGAUAUGUCACAGAACACCAAUUGCGAAGGCAGCUUACUAAAGUAUGAUUGACGCUGAGGCACGAAAGCGUGGGGAUCAAACAGG
rnacentral:rRNA from 1 species